CGAUGUGACCACACCCUCGUAGGUUCGUAUUAUUUUGGUUCAUCCUACUGUCCUUUCUAGGACAUGAUUAAGAAGUUAUAGCAGGGCUAGCUUUGAGAAGGCAGGUGGGGCUAGUCUGGCUUGCCAGACCUGGGGCAUUUGUCGAAUUCUUUUUUUGCAAAGUCUCAUGAGCUGAGAGAAGAGAGAAUUCUGGCAUACAUGUUGACUUCUGCUUGUUCUCCUGGAAUGUGGAAGUCAUGUGGACGUGCAAUGGAAGCCAUGUGAACAACGGUUAUGUCCAGUUACACAUGAUACAACGUAACUGAGUAAGAUGGAAUGCCUACAUUGGCUGUGCUAAACUGUGGUAACUGCCUAGUCUCUUUUAUUAACUAUAAUAUAAUUAACUAUAAUAACCACACAUCCUCCAUAUAAAUAAUCCUGCAAUCAUCUAAUUCUUCAGUUGUAGUCUUCACUCGUUCGUUCUCUCAAGUUCUCUUCAGUUCUUCUACAAUUUGUACAUUGGAUAGUACUUCAGUUCCAUUGGAUAGUACUUCAGUUCCAUUGGUAGCGUGAGCUACAUUGUUCAUUCAUUUCUUAUUGUUUGAUUCUAUAUUGCUUGAUUCUAUAUUAUAUGCUUCUUUGUAUAGUUAUCAGUUGUGAAUUUCUUAUUCUCUUUCUUCCUUUAUUCCUACAGUGUGUGUUAUCCUUCUUUGUUCAUUCCUACUCUUCUUUAUUUUUAUUGUGUAUGUCCUUCUGUCUGUCUCUGUUUUCUUAUUGUUUGUAACUGUUUUUAUUUUAUUGGUUUUGAGACUAGGCAAAUAUACAACAUAAACUUA